UUUGUCUUAGUAUAAAUUAAUAUGUUGGUUUUUCGUAUCAGUGAUGGUUGUGUUAAUCAGGCAAAU
rnacentral:tRNA from 1 species